rnacentral:rRNA from 1 species
GAAGGGGGCUAGCGUUGUUCGGAUUUACUGGGCGUAAAGCGCGUGUAGGCGGGUCGGUAAGUUGGGGGUGAAAUCCCGAGGCUCAACCUCGGAACUGCCUCCAAAACUGGCGGCCUGGGGCAAGAUAGAGGCGAGUGGAAUUGCGAGUGUAGAGGUGAAAUUCGUAGAUAUUCGCAGGAACACCAGUGGCGAAGGCGACUCGCUGGAUCUUUGCUGACGCUGAGACGCGAAAGCGUGGGGAGCAAACAGGAUUAGAUACCCUGGUAGUCCACGCUGUAAACGAUGAGAGCUAGUUGUCGGCACGCAUGCGUGUCGGUGACGCAGCUAACGCAUUAAGCUCUCCGCCUGGGGAGUACGGCCGCAAGGUUA